CAAAUGUGAUUACUGUGACAAGCUGU
rnacentral:piRNA from 1 species